rnacentral:rRNA from 1 species
CCUACGGGUGGCAGCAGUGAGGAAUAUUGGUCAAUGGGCGGAAGCCUGAACCAGCCAAGUCGCGUGAGGGAAUAAGGCCCUACGGGUUGUAAACCUCUUUUGCCGGGGAGCAAGGGCGGGGACGUGUCCCGGCCCGGAGAUUACCCGGAGAAAAAGCUUCGGCUAACUCCGUCCCAGCAGCCGCGGUAAUCCGGGGAAUGCGGGCGUUAUCCGGAUUUUUUGGGUUUAAAGGGUGCGUAGGCGGGCUGUCAAGUCGGCGGUAAAAAUUCGGGGCUAAACCCCGUCCGGCCGUUGAAACUGGGUGCCUUGAGUGGGCGAGAAGAAGGCGGAAUGCGUGGUGUAGCGGUGAAAUGCUUAGAUAUCACGAAGAACUCCGAUUGCGAAGGCAGCUUACUAAACUGCCACUGACAUUGAUGCACGAAAGUGUGGGUAUCAAACAGGAUUAGAUACCCUGGUAGUC